rnacentral:rRNA from 1 species
GUUAAGUGACUAAGCGUACACGGUGGAUGCCUGGGCAGUCAGAGGCGAUGAAGGACGUACUAACUUGCGAUAAGCGCAGAUAAGGCAGUAAGAGCCGUUUGAGUCUGCGAUUUCCGAAUGGGGAAACCCAACUGCAUAAGCAGUUACUGUUAACUGAAUACAUAGGUUAACAGAGCAAACCGGGGGAACUGAAACAUCUAAGUACCCCGAGGAGAAGAAAUCAACCGAGAUUCCGGUAGUAGCGGCGAGCGAACCUGGAUUAGCCCUUAAGCACUCGGUGAAGUAGGUGAACAAGCUGGAAAGCUUGGCGAUACAGGGUGAUAGCCCCGUAACCGACGCUUCAUCGAGCGUGAAAUCGAGUAGGGCGGGACACGUGAUAUCCUGUCUGAAUAUGGGGGACCAUCCUCCAAGGCUAAAUACUCCUGACUGACCGAUAGUGAACCAGUACCGUGAGGGAAAGGCGAAAAGAACCCCUGUGAGGGGAGUGAAAUAGAACCUGAAACCGUGUACGUACAAGCAGUAGGAGCACCUUCGUGGUGUGACUGCGUACCUUUUGUAUAAUGGGUCAGCGACUUAUAUUCAGUGGCAAGGUUAACCGUAUAGGGGAGCCGUAGCGAAAGCGAGUCUUAACUGGGCGCUCAGUCUCUGGAUAUAGACCCGAAACCGGGUGAUCUAGCCAUGGGCAGGUUGAAGGUUGAGUAACAUCAACUGGAGGACCGAACCGACUAAUGUUGAAAAAUUAGCGGAUGACUUGUGGCUAGGGGUGAAAGGCCAAUCAAACUCGGAGAUAGCUGGUUCUCCCCGAAAGCUAUUUAGGUAGCGCCUCGGACGAAUACUACUGGGGGUAGAGCACUGUUAAGGCUAGGGGGUCAUCCCGACUUACCAACCCUUUGCAAACUCCGAAUACCAGUAAGUACUAUCCGGGAGACACACGGCGGGUGCUAACGUCCGUCGUGGAGAGGGAAACAACCCAGACCGCCAGCUAAGGUCCCAAAGUAUUGCUAAGUGGGAAACGAUGUGGGAAGGCUCAGACAGCUAGGAUGUUGGCUUAGAAGCAGCCAUCAUUUAAAGAAAGCGUAAUAGCUCACUAGUCGAGUCGGCCUGCGCGGAAGAUGUAACGGGGCUAAGCAAUACACCGAAGCUGCGGCAAUGUCUUUUAGACAUUGGGUAGGGGAGCGUUCUGUAAGCCGUUGAAGGUGAAUCGUAAGGUUUGCUGGAGGUAUCAGAAGUGCGAAUGCUGACAUGAGUAACGACAAAGGGGGUGAAAAACCUCCUCGCCGGAAGACCAAGGGUUCCUGUCCAACGUUAAUCGGGGCAGGGUGAGUCGACCCCUAAGGUGAGGCCGAAAGGCGUAAUCGAUGGGAAACGGGUUAAUAUUCCCGUACUUCUGACUAUUGCGAUGGGGGGACGGAGAAGGCUAGGUGGGCCAGGCGACGGUUGUCCUGGUUCAAGUGCGUAGGCUUGAGAGUUAGGUAAAUCCGGCUCUCUCUAAGGCUGAGACACGACGUCGAGCUACUACGGUAGUGAAGUCAUUGAUGCCAUGCUUCCAGGAAAAGCCUCUAAGCUUCAGAUAGUCAGGAAUCGUACCCCAAACCGACACAGGUGGUCGGGUAGAGAAUACCAAGGCGCUUGAGAGAACUCGGGUGAAGGAACUAGGCAAAAUGGUACCGUAACUUCGGGAGAAGGUACGCUCUUGAUGGUGAAGUCCCUCGCGGAUGGAGCUGACGAGAGUCGCAGAUACCAGGUGGCUGCAACUGUUUAUUAAAAACACAGCACUGUGCAAAAUCGCAAGAUGACGUAUACGGUGUGACGCCUGCCCGGUGCCGGAAGGUUAAUUGAUGGGGUUAGCGCAAGCGAAGCUCUUGAUCGAAGCCCCGGUAAACGGCGGCCGUAACUAUAACGGUCCUAAGGUAGCGAAAUUCCUUGUCGGGUAAGUUCCGACCUGCACGAAUGGCGUAAUGAUGGCCACGCUGUCUCCACCCGAGACUCAGUGAAAUUGAAAUCGCUGUGAAGAUGCAGUGUACCCGCGGCUAGACGGAAAGACCCCGUGAACCUUUACUACAGCUUGGCACUGAACAUUGAACCUACAUGUGUAGGAUAGGUGGGAGGCUAUGAAGACGUGACGCCAGUUGCGUUGGAGCCGUCCUUGAAAUACCACCCUUGUAUGUUUGAUGUUCUAACUUAGACCCAUUAUCUGGGUUGAGGACAGUGCCUGGUGGGUAGUUUGACUGGGGCGGUCUCCUCCCAAAGAGUAACGGAGGAGCACGAAGGUGGGCUAAUCACGGUUGGACAUCGUGAGGUUAGUGCAAUGGCAUAAGCCCGCUUAACUGCGAGAAUGACGGUUCGAGCAGGUGCGAAAGCAGGUCAUAGUGAUCCGGUGGUUCUGUAUGGAAGGGCCAUCGCUCAACGGAUAAAAGGUACUCCGGGGAUAACAGGCUGAUACCGCCCAAGAGUUCAUAUCGACGGCGGUGUUUGGCACCUCGAUGUCGGCUCAUCACAUCCUGGGGCUGAAGUCGGUCCCAAGGGUAUGGCUGUUCGCCAUUUAAAGUGGUACGCGAGCUGGGUUUAGAACGUCGUGAGACAGUUCGGUCCCUAUCUGCCGUGGGCGUUGGAAGAUUGAAGGGGGCUGCUCCUAGUACGAGAGGACCGGAGUGGACGAACCUCUGGUGUUCGGGUUGUGUCGCCAGACGCAUUGCCCGGUAGCUAAGUUCGGAAUUGAUAAGCGCUGAAAGCAUCUAAGCGCGAAGCGAGCCCUGAGAUGAGUCUUCCCUGACAGUUUAACUGUCCUAAAGGGUUGUUCGAGACUAGAACGUUGAUAGGCAGGGUGUGUAAGCGUUGUGAGGCGUUGAGCUAACCUGUACUAAUUGCCCGUGAGGCUUAACC